CGAGUGGAAUUCUAUGGGGGGCGGUGAGUUUUCUCCAGCAUUUUACGGUUGCUUGAGGCGGUAUUCAUCGUGUGAAUUACUUGGUAAUUCGGGCUUAUUGCGCGCCACAGUGGAAAAACCUGCGUAUGUUCAGCCAAGUAGAAAUAAUCGCCAGAAUCCAGCGUAAUUUAUGAUCAACCCAAUUACAAUUUCUCUUCGUGCGCGUUGCUGGGCAUAUUUGCAAAAUGCAUUGCACACAGAUGUCAUAAAUAUCCUGAGAGACUAAUCUCUCAACUGGAAACAUAAAAAACUGGCACAAUACAUCGCUAAGAAACGCUUGGUUCAAACGCUCGGAUCUUUGAUUUCAUCUUGAUUUCUUCGUGUGCUCGUUUGGAUCUUUAAAAUAAGAAUCUUGACUGUAUUCAAUUGGCAAGGUUCCCAAUGUUGCUGCUGUGAGUAACUUUGCGUCGUACUCAUUAUAUAUCGCCAUAUUUACGUCGCUCGUUAAUGAACGAUGUUCUACGCGUUGUGUGCGGUCUUUAUCGUGUAAUCUAAACUGUGUGUCGGAUUAUGUUUCACACUUGCCAAAAACGAUUCGUAUGUACAAUUAAGUAUUGAAGAUGCCAAAUCGCGUGACAUUUAAUAUCAUAUAAAUCGCGCAAUCGUCGAGAGUGCUAGUGCGCGUUUGAAUCUCACGUUGGCCUUGUUUCGCGUUUUAUAAUCUGGAGAGUAAACAGCCGAAUUACGUAUUAUUAUAGUUAAUUAUUCGUUCAUUUAAGCGUAUUGUAUCGUAUGAAUCGUAAAUUGUGCAUUGGAAUUUCAUAUCGGUGUCUUUCGCGCGUUCUAACCUCCAAAAGUGAAAAGUUAAAUACUCCGUGAACAAGUGAUUUGUUUUUAACCUUGCAAAAAUGAACGCGGUGUUUAAAUAUCUAUCGGGAAUGUCGAAUUAUAUUUCGCGCGAUUAUAGUAAUUUAUUAUUCACACGGAUACACACAUAUUUCGUAAAUGUCAAUAAUGCCGAAUAAAUCGCCGGUCAGUGGUUGUUUAAUGUACUCGCGAAAUUGUGUGAUUAAUGGACUUUGAUGACUUUGCGUCGCAACACGUCACGAAUGCAGCUUUAGUAGCAGAGGAUGGCUCGUCUACCUGGAAUAAAACCAGGCUUCGGUCGAUCGCAAGCGGAUUCUCGGAUGCGUCCCUGCGUUUGCAACGGCGAAAAGAGAUCACUCCAAG